ACGUCCGGAUCCCUAGUACUGCGAGUGAAGCGGGAAAAGCUCAAAUUUAAAAUCUGGCGGUCUUUGGCCGUCCGAGUUGUAGUCUGGAGAAGUGCUUUCCGCGCUGGACCGUGUACAAGUCUCUUGGAACAGAGCGUCAUAGAGGGUGAGAAUCCCGUCUUUGACACGGACUACCAGUGCUUUGUGAUGCGCUCUCAAAGAGUCGAGUUGUUUGGGAAUGCAGCUCAAAAUGGGUGGUGAAUUCCAUCUAAAGCUAAAUAUUGGCGAGAGACCGAUAGCGAACAAGUACCGUGAGGGAAAGAUGAAAAGCACUUUGGAAAGAGAGUUAAACAGUACGUGAAAUUGCUGAAAGGGAAACGCUUGAAGUCAGUCGCGUCGUCCGGAACUCAGCCUUGCUUCGGCUUGGUGCACUUUCCGGAUGACGGGCCAGCAUCGAUUUUGACCGCCGGAAAAGGGUAGGAGAAAUGUGGCACCUUCGGGUGUGUUAUAGUCUCCUAUCGCAUACGGCGGUUGGGAUCGAGGAACGCAGCGCGCCUUAUGGCUGGGGUUCGCCCACAUUCGCGCUUAGGAUGCUGGCAUAAUGGCUUUAAACGACCCGUCUUGAAACCGGGACCAAAA
rnacentral:rRNA from 1 species